AUUGAACGCUGGCGGCAUGCCUUACACAUGCAAGUCGAACAGUAACAGGUCUUCGGAUGCUGACGAGUGGCGGACGGGUGAGUAAUACAUCGGAACGUGCCCGAUCGUGGGGGCUAACGAAGCGAAAGCUUUGCUAAUACCGCAUAAGAUCUACGGAUGAAAGCCGGGGACCGCAAGGCCUUGCGCGAACGGAGCGGCCGAUGGCAGAUUAGGUAGUUGGUGGGAUAAAAGCUUACCAAGCCGACGAUCUGUAGCUGGUCUGAGAGGACGACCAGCCACACUGGGACUGCACCACGGCCCAGACUCCUACGGGAGGCGGCAGUGGGGAAUUUUGGAGAAUGAGCGAUAGCCUGAUCCAUACCAGCCGCGUGCAGGAUGAAGGCCUUCGGGUUGUAAACUGCUUUUGUACGGAACGAAAAGACUCUAGUUAAUACCUGGGGUCCAUGACGGUACCGUAAGAAUAAGCACCGGCUAACUACGUG
rnacentral:rRNA from 1 species